UCAUAAUUUCAGGAUUUGCCUUGCCCAAAAGUAGGAGAGACCACCUGAAUUUAGGAAUUUGUAGUAGGAAUUCAUAGUAAAAGUAUUGGUGGUGGUCUAUUUGGAAGAAUAGGUAUGAGAUUCUACCAUGUUGAUGGAGUCCAACAGAUAGUAGUGCAGCUUUGAGUGCUCAUUCUGGAUAAAUUGAUCCAAUGGCAUGUUGACUAGAUGGCUUGAGGGGAGAUAUUUGAGUCCCUGAUUUGCUUUGAUCCUUUGACAGGAGAAUCCCAAGCAAAGGCAAAGAAGGGAAGUUGGUGGCAAUGGUAGUACUGGAGGGGAGCUAGGGAUCUUACCAAACUCUAAGGUGAACACCAUUCCCUAAUUUAAUUUGCAAGCUGCAUAGGAAGCUAUUAAAGCAUUGCAGCAUAACUUUCCAAAAAUGGGAUGCAAGAACUUCUAGACUCUUGGAGGUGAAGAAUGGAGAACUUCUUGCGUAAUAAUAAAGGUUGGAAAUGUCCAAGCCAUGCCCCUAAGCGAGCCCGUCCUAAAUUAUUUUGUCAACCUUCAGGCUGGGCUUAGAUCCAAAAAUUUUGGGUUUUUCUGGAUGGGAGCUGGGUGCAAUUCUUGGUGGCCGAAAUGAAGGAAAGUGUUUGAAAGAAGGAGAGACUAAGGACACGCAUUCCUAUUUUCUAAGAGUGGGAUUUUAGAAGGAAAUUCCUUAAUUGUGGGCGUGGGAAUUGGUUUAGGAAGUUUACUUGCUUAUGGAGUAUUUUAUUUUAGGAAGUCUGGUUUUAGUAUACUCCUUGAUUUAAGGAGGAUUACUUGUCUUUAAUUUAGGAAAUUUGAAAUUGAAAUUUGAAUUGUCCAUUAAUUUAGAAAGUUGUUGAGGUCUUUAGGAGGUCCUUUAAAUAUUUGCCUCUUAUAUUUUGUAUGGACAUUUUUGUAUCAAUGAAAAAACCUGAAACACUUUGCUCAAACUUUGUCUUGAAAUAGUCUAGAUGCUAACCCAAGUUAGUCCUAGCUCUAUCUAUCAUUUUUUCUUGAUUUUAGGUGCUGCCUUGAGGUAGUCCUUGAAUCACCAACCACCCAACAUGCGAAUUAUACUUAAUUUUUCUAUAUACCAAAAGAGAGGCUUCCAUCACCCUACCAUGGUCCUCCACUGCCCUACUUCCCUCCUCUCCUCUUCUUAAUUAAUCUCAUGGGUAACUGCCCCAUUCUUUGCAUCUUCCCUCCUCUCCUCUUCUUAAUUAAUCUCAUGGGUAACUGCCCCAUUCUUUGCAUCUUUAAGCAUUAGCUGUAGCCCUACCAAUUCGCUCUCCAACUCCUCCAGCGAGAGCCCAGCUGAAAAUGUACACGAGCCCUAAUUCUAAGCCCAACCUGAUCUAAAA
rnacentral:lncRNA from 1 species